UAGCCCAGUGGUGGAGCACUUGGCUUGCAAGCAAAAGGUCCCAGGUUCAAUCCCUGG
rnacentral:tRNA from 1 species